GGCUUCUUAUCUCAGUGGUAGAGCAUUUGACAGCAGAUCAAAAGGUCACCAGUUCGAACCUGGUAGGUCCCU
rnacentral:tRNA from 1 species